AUGCUUGGGCCUAGGCCUUCUGAAGCCCAAAUGUGUAGCCAAAUGAGAGGGAUGAGAGUUCAGGAAACAAUAACUCAAUCUCAUUCUUACCUUGUUCAUAUCCUCACCAGAGUUACAACCUUGCCGCACCUUAAAUCACUUCUGGUGGUGACGGAGGUCCAAAGCCUUUCAAAAAUACAUCACCAUGUUUGUCUAAUCUCCCUCUUUCACAAUCCAUCAUUAACUUUCCCUAAUUUAUCACCACUUGUUCCAAUCAAGCAAAAGAGUGCAAAACCCUAAAAACUACUUCAGGAAUUAAACAACGCAAAUGACCUAAAAGGAAUCCAAACCUUGGGGGUUUGGCUCCUUAAGAACGUCACUACAUUGUGGUAACAGUAAGGGCACAAGUUAAAGAGGAGGAGGCGUGAAACCUACCAAUGAGGACAAGAAGUUCCCUGGAAAUUGUUGGAAUGAAGAAGAUGAAGCAAAACAAGAAUCCCAGAUAAACUUCAGAGAGCUUUAAUAGUUAGUUCUGAUUCUGAGUUUAUGACGUGCAACGUCAUCAGUUUCUGAAUAUUGUGUUCCAAAUUCCACUUUUGCGCUAAUCAUGAGAAGCUCUGAAAGAUGUUCAAUUUGAUGUUGCAAUGAUCUUUCUACUUCUAUAUUGAUUUGUUCCUAAAAAGUUUCUAAGGAUAUGCUAUGUUGGUGUUGCAAUGUUCUCUCGGUUUAUGCUUCUGGAUGUGACUCUGAUCAUCAAGCUUCUAAAAAAUGGCAAGCUUAUGAAGUUUUACUACUUAGCUAAAGAUUCUGAAGAUCUCAAGCUAGAUUUUGAGGUUGUCAAGGUUAUCAAGGUUCUGACUAUAGUGUCCGAAGGUUCUGAAGAUUCUAAAGAUCUCAAGCCAGACUGCUAACACUGUCAAGGUUCUGACUAAAGACGCUGAAGUUUAUGAAUCCAACUAUAUGUUUCUUCAUUUCAUGCUCCAUCAUUUAUUCAUCAGAAGCCAAUGAAUUUGAAGAUUAAAUCAAAAUGGAUACGUGAUCAAAUAGUACAUGGUGCAAAUCGAAUAUUCCUUCCACUACUUGAAAUCGUGGGAAAAUGAUAGCACUAUACAUUCACAUGGCUUCAAUGUCAUUGGAACCAAAUGGGUUUUCAAAAACAAGACCAAUGAGAAAGGCAAAGUCAUCAUAAACAAGGAUUGACUGGUAGCACAAGAUUAUACUCAGCAAGAAGGAUAUUACUAAGUCAAUGCAGGAAGAAUUUAAAAUGAGUAUGAUGGGAGAACUUAAGUUCUGUUUGGGAAUCCGGAUUGAUCAAUGUUCAGAAGGAACGUACAUUCAUCAGAGCAAGUAUACAAGAGAACUUCUGAAGAAGUUUAAUUUGUCAGAAUGUAAGCAAGAAAAGACUUCAAUGCAUCCUAUAUGCACUCUGGAGAAAGAAUAUGUAAGCAGUAAGGUAAAUCAGAAGCUAUUCAGAGGUAUGAUAGACUCGCUCCUUUAUCUAACACCUUCUAGGCCUGAUAUUUUAUUCAAUGUCUGCUUAUGUGCUCGCUUCCAAUCAGAUCCUAGGGAAACUCACUUAACUAUUGUUAAUAGAAUCUUUUGGUAUCUGAAAGGUAUUAUUAACCUUGGUUUGUUUUAUAUAAAAUCAAGUGAAUAUAAAUUAGUAGGCUAUUGUGAUGCUGACUAUGCUGGAGACAGAAUAGAAAGAAAAAGUAUUUCUUAAAGUUAUCAAUUUCCGGGAGACAAUUUAAUAUCAUGGUCCAACAAGAGACAGUCAACAAUUGCACUUUCAACAGCCAAAGUUGAGUAUAUCACAACUUCUGGAUGCAGCACUCAGAUACUCUGGAUGAAGAGUCAACUGGAAGAUUAUCAGAUAUUUGAGAGUAACAUUCCUAUUAUCUAUGAUAAUAUUUCUGCUAUUUGUUUGUCUAAGAAUCCUAUCUUGCAUUCUAGGGCUAAGCAUGUUGAAAUUAAACAUCACUUUUUACGUGACUAUAUUCAGAAGGGUAUUUUUUACUUAAAAUUUAUUGGUACAGACCAUCAAUGGGUUGAUAUCUUUACAAAUUUCCUUGUUGAAGAUAGAUUUGUUUUCAUUCUGAAAAACUUAUUUAUGGACUUUCGUCCAUAAUGAAAAGAUGAAUUUCAUAAUGUUAAGCUUCCAGAACUCUUGAUUAGAUUCUGAGAGUUUAUUUGUUGAUUCUGAAACAUGAGUUUUUUGAAGUGAGGAAGUUUCAUGAAUCAAAAAGGUUAUGAUUAGAAGAAAUCUUAUUGAUUUGUCUUUCUUAUUUUGAACAGUCGUUGCAUUAAACAAUUGUCUUUUCGUUUAAUAUCGUGUGGUUCUUAGUGGUAACAGUUGUCCCAUUUUCUGAGUAUGCAUGAUAAUGGCCUGACACAUUGGGUUUCUAUAUCUCGGGAUUAGGUUAUAUCGUUUACGUUUCCCUAUGACGGUGUAUUCCUUUUGUUGUCAUCAUUACUAAUAUUUUUUCUUUUUAUAAACUCACUUCACUCACAUUUUCACACUAUGCGCACUUUACUCCCACACUUUCAAUAUUUCAAACCUUCAAACAACUUCUUUGCAACUGUUUAUCUUCAUCUUCAUUAUCAUUUUACAAUGGCUGCUAUUCAACAACAGCAAUCUCUUAUUCAAUCCAUUGCUGAUGAGAAUCAUCCCGUUAUGGAAGGGAUUCCCGAGUUAACCCUCAAUACUCCUGAUAAUGAGUUAAUGGUUCUAUGUGAAACCAAGAUUCUGAAGUGAAGUUCAUUAGAAUGUUGAUGUUAACAAUCAGUGCUCUGGAUAACAUCAAGCAACUUAUGAAGACAAACCAGAUUUUGAUGGAAGAUCAUUCUGGUGCUUCAAAAAGGUUAAUCAAUUUUUUUUCUUUCAUUCAGAUUUUAUCUUUUUAGGAUUAUACAUCUCAGAGAGUGCUUUGUGCUUCUGUAAGAUGUAUCUUUCUGUGAUUACCUGUACAAAAUAGUUCAUCAAAAUAUAUGUUUUUGUCAUCAUAAAAAAGGGGGAGAUUGUUAGAAGAAGAUUUAGUUAUGUAUUUAUACCUUGAGUUUUGAUGAUAACAAUGUUGCAUUAGUGUGAGAAUAAUUUCGGUACCCUAAUGGUUAGUUAUUGUGUAGCUUUAAUAGGCAAUUAUGAUUCUGAGUUAUGACAUGCAACGUCAUCAAUUUCUAAAAAUUGUGUUCCAAAUUUCGCUUAUGCGCUAAUCAUGAGAAGCUCUAAAAGAUGUUUAAGUUGCUGCUGCAAUGAUCUUUAUGCUUCUGUGUUGAUUCACUCCUGAGAAGUUUCAGAGGAGACGUUAUGUUGUUGCUGUAAUGUUCUCUCGGUUUAUGUUUCUGGAUGUCACUUUGAUCAUCAAACUUCUGAAGUUUUGUUACUUAGUUGAAGAUUCUGAAGAUCUCAAGUCAGACAUUGAGGUUAUCAAGGUUUUGACUGAAGAGUCAGAAGAUUCUGAAGAUUUUAAAGAUACUGAAGAUCUUAAGCCAGACUGCUGACGCUGUCAAGGUUCUGACUAAAGACUCUGAUGUUUUUGAACCCAGCUGUAUGUUUCUUAAUUUCAUGCUUCAUCAUCUAUUUAUCAGAAGCCAAUGAAUUUGAAGAUAAGAUCAAAAUGGAUACGGGAUCAAAUAAUACAUGGUACAAAUCAAAUAUUUCUUCCACUACCUGAAAUCAUGGGCAAAAGACGGUACUAUACAUCACACAUGUCACUAAUAUUAUAGGUGAAUGAUGGUACUAUGUAUCACUCCUUUCACCAAUCCAACAGUGGAUAACCGUUCUAUUGGUAUCCCCAUUUUGUCCUCCAAUGGUCUCUUUUCUUAUGCUAUAUAAGUGGGACUUGGAGACUUGAAGAAGAGAAGAAUUGCAACAAUUUUACAAGACUGUUUUCUACGUGAAAAAGAUCUAAACUUUGUGAAUACUUUUCUUUAAGUAUUUGUUUUUCAUUUGUGUAAAAUCUGCUUGUGUAGAACCAACUUGUAAACACAAAACCUUUUAUUCAAACUUGUUUUUUGUAAUUUCUUAAGGAGACGAUGGUAUAGUCGGAUCCUUGAGAAGACAAAGAAAGUUGUUCUUUAUGAUUCCUUAAGGAGACUAGGGUAUAGUUGGAUCCUUGAGAAGACAAAGAAGGUUAUUCUUUGUGAUUAUUAUAAUCAGUUGAUUAUAGUGGAUUAAGUCCUUGUGUAUAAGGAGAAAUCACCUUUGCGGGUGGACUGGAGUAACUUUGAGUUUCAAGUGAAAUAGGAUAAAAAUACUUGUGUUUUUAUCUCUUUAUUCUUAACAGUUGUGUGGUGUUCUUGAGUUGGUAAAAAGCUUUUGUUCUAACUCGAGUGUUAAUUGAAAUGGGGAAUCUAACUAAACUAUAUUGAAUGUUAGUCUUGAAUGUAGUAGAAAUGAAUAUUAUGCUACAUGUUAUGUUGAGUUAAUUUGGAUGUCUUGGUGUUAGUCCUCAUUAUGUAUGUGUAUGCUUAUACAUGGAUGACACAUUGUUUCUAAUUAUGUACUGUGUGGUUAUGUGUUGCUGGGAUGAUACAUGGUGUGAAUGUAUUAAUAUUGACAAGGCCAUACAUGAACCAAGAGGACACUUUAAACAAAAUCAAGACUCAUGAAGGAUUUUGAACAAUAGGAGAUGGCUUAGAGAUGGAUAAGAGUAAGGACUAGGGUUUAAGACUAGGUAGUUGAUUUUGGUCGACUGUUUGUUAACAAAUAUGUACUUUUUUUUUAGAUUUUGAUUUGGGACCUUUUGUAAUGUAAUGCACAAAUGAUUUGUAAUGAAAUUAGCUUCCUUUUGUAUGAAUUUUGUAAUUUGUGUU